GAGGCCAUUGACGAUCACCAGCUUGGCGUCGGUGAUCUUUUUCGCGUCCGACGGUGUCGGCGUGUAGACGUGAGUGUCGCUGUUGGGUCCAACCAGCGUCGUCACGUUCACGCGCUCGCCGCCGACAUUUUNNNNNNNNNNNAAUGUCGCGACGAUGUUCAGGCGUGCGGCAUCAGCAUUCGCAGAGGCGGGACCUACGAGCGCGACCAGAGCAACAACAAAGAUGGAUACAAAUCGAAGCACAGCUUCUCCUCACGCUUCGAGAUGGCGGCCCGGAAAGAGCUGCCG
rnacentral:misc_RNA from 1 species